rnacentral:rRNA from 1 species
UACGUAGGGUGCAAGCGUUGUCCGGAAUUAUUGGGCGUAAAGAGCUCGUAGGCGGUCUGUCGCGUCUGCUGUGAAAACUCGGGGCUUAACCCCGGGCCUGCAGUGGGUACGGGCAGACUAGAGUACGGAAGAGGCGAGUGGAAUUCCUGGUGUAGCGGUGAAAUGCGCAGAUAUCAGGAGGAACACCAAUUGCGAAGGCAGCUCGCUGGGACGUUACUGACGCUGAGGCGCGAAAGCCAGGGGAGCGAACGGG